rnacentral:rRNA from 1 species
GACGAACGCUGGCGGCGUGCUUAACACAUGCAAGUCGAACGGAAAGGCCCUGCUUUUGUGGGGUGCUCGAGUGGCGAACGGGUGAGUAACACGUGAGUAACCUGCCCUUGACUUUGGGAUAACUUCAGGAAGCUGGGGCUAAUACCGGAAAGGAGCUCCUGCUGCAUGGUGGGGGUUGGAAAGUUUCGGCGGUUGGGGAUGGACUCGCGGCUUAUCAGCUUGUUGGUGGGGUAGUGGCUUACCAAGGCUUUGACGGGUAGCCGGCCUGAGAGGGUGACCGGCCACAUUGGGACUGAGAUACGGCCCAGACUCCUACGGGAGGCAGCAGUGGGGAAUAUUGCACAAUGGGCGGAAGCCUGAUGCAGCAACGCCGCGUGCGGGAUGACGGCCUUCGGGUUGUAAACCGCUUUCGCCUGUGACGAAGCGUGAGUGACGGUAAUGGGUAAAGAAGCACCGGCUAACUACGUG